rnacentral:sRNA from 1 species
AAUGCUGAACAUUUCUCUCCACCCGGCUCCUCCCGCAAACCCUGCCUGGACAUGUCAUCCCCAAACCUGGCACAUGGGCAGCUUUCUCUUUGGGAAGGUUUUAUGAGCAUCUCCACAGGAAUAAUAACAGAAAACCAGGACACGGGGACGGGAGAGCCGUUCCAGGAGUCCCUCCAGCUGUGUCCUUACCCACAUCUCUGGCUCACAAUGCACUGUAACAUGCAGACUCCUCUCAACAACCUUCUUCCUGUCUCCUGAUUCUCCUCUCCUUCUUUCGGGGCAAUGACUCCUGCCAUCAGGUCCCUAUUGCACUGAAACCAUGCCCGACGUGGAGACUCAGACUCCCAGAGACCCUUCACAGCUUUGCAAACCCCAUGUUGGUUCCUUGUUUUAUAGGUGGCAGACCCUCCGUGUGACCUCAGCACUGACGUGACUACCAUCCUAUCUCCUCUCCACUCUUCAGCUCUUGGCUGAUGACCAGAUUCCUCCCACUGUGACACAGGAAAGUCCAAGGUGAGUCCUAACUGUAGGCCAAAGUCCAUGUGUGCGCUGUGUCUGGUCCAGAUGAAAGGGUGCUAUUUAUCCGAGAUUGACAUUCUACUUCUUGCUUUACCUUUCUAACUGUCUCUUUGUGCCUUCGUUCCCAACCUUCCAAGGUCCAAGUAUACACGUUAAACUUCCUUCAUUUCUUCUCCUAUCUGUUUAACUAGAGGUAACUUCAGAGUAGUUAAAUUCUUCCAGUACUGAAUGUCUAGUUUCUAGUCCAUGUAACUGCAGAAGAGACAUGAUUUUAUAAUACUUAUCGAUUUAAACUUUGAUUAACUCACACAAGCCUUUGUAAUCAGACGGCUUUCUCUUCAUCUAAAUCAGCCAUCUCGUGCAGCAGGUGGAGAUCAGAUAACAGAGCAAGCAGACCACAGAAAGGGCUUGCCCAGUGCAGUCUGCUCAAUGCUGAGCUUAACAAGUCCCUGUUUUCAUCAACUGGUUAGAGAAUUUAUUCAUUCCCUACGCACUUGAUAAUAAUGUAACCUGGACAUCUGUUGUGUUUAGAUACAGUAACUACAUGAUCAUUUUCAAUGAGGCUAUCAGGCCUUUCAGGAAAAAACAAUCUCAGACUAACACGGUCUAUCUUAUAAUAUUGGCCAGCUCAGCUCAUGUCUGUUUGGCUUCACUGUGAGUAAAGAGAGAAUUCCAAAGCUACUGAUUGACCUUCUUCUGUGUUCUACUCAGGAAACAUAAGUUAAGCAGGAACACGAGAGUUGGCUAGGGGAGCUCAAAGAUCUCCAUCAAAGUAGCUGGGGCUACUUAGAAGGAAUCGGGUAACUGCUGGAGCUGGCGCUGUGCAAGCAACUUCACUAGUAGAGAUGCCACAUCAAGACAAGGAGGAGAAAUGCUGGUCUGUCCGUUGUUUACAAGGAGACAGAGCUGACCUGGCUCUUCAAACACGGGACAGGAGACACAGACACUACAAAAGUAUCGACUCACAAUAGAUACUUAUAGAGGAGUGGGAUUUCAUGACCAUCUCCACUCUCCAUGUCAGGUCUUACGCAUGUUGUCAGGUAUGUACAAGUGCCCUAACACAUCCAGAAAACAUUGUUUCCUCAUGGUCAUAUACCCCCUCUGGCAUUUGCAAUAUCUCUGCCCCCCUUUUCACAAUAAUCCCUGAGGCUUAAGAUAAGGGGAAGUAAUAUAGAUGUCUCAUUUGAGAC